CAUCUCUUUGACGGUGACAUCAAUGGAGGAAAUAUGUUGACAAUUUGGCCCUCGUUUUUGUUUCAUCUUUUCUAUAUUGUGACAGGUUUUUACAGUGUUGAGAUCAAAGUCAUUUUUUACAUUGAAGCUGUAUUCAUACUUCUCCUACCUUUAGUGCCGUCGUUCUUC